CGAACGCUGGCGGCGUGCUAACACAUGCAAGUCGAACGCGAAAGGGACUUCGGUCCUGAGUAAAGUGGCGGCACGGGUGAGUAACGCGUAGAUAACCUGUCUUCAUGUCUGGAAUAAUACGCCGAAAGGGGUACUAAUACCGGAUAUUCUUGCUUUUCAUAAGUUAUGCAAGCAAAGGUGGCCUCUGCAUAUGCUACUGCAUGAAGAGGGGUCUGCGUACCAUUAGCUAGUAGGUGGGGUAAUGGCCUACCUAGGCGACGAUGGUUAGCGGGUCUGAGAGGAUGAUCCGCCACACUGGCACUGGAACACGGGCCAGACUCCUACGGGAGGCAGCAGUGAGGAAUAUUGCGCAAUGGGGGAAACCCUGACGCAGCGACGCCGCGUGAGUGAAGGAAGGCCUUCGGGUCGUAAAGCUCUGUCAAGAGGAAAGAAGUGUACAAUGGCUAAUACCUGUUGUAUUUGACGGUACCUCUAAAGGAAGCACCGGCUAACUCCGUGCCAGCAGCGGC
rnacentral:rRNA from 1 species